GGGAACCCGCUGGAGUCCCUUUCCACAGUGUGGAAGCUUUGUUCUUUCGCUCUUUGCAAUAAAUCCUGCUGCUGCUCACUCUUUGGGUCCACACUGCCUUUAUGAGCUGUAACACUCACCAUGAAGGUCUGCAGCUUCACUCGUGCCUGAGCCAGCGAGAGCAGGAACCCACCAGAAGGAAGAAACUCCAAACACAUCCGAACAUCAGAAGGAACAAACUCCAGAUGCGCCACCUUAAGAGCUGUAACACUCACCACGAGGGUCCGGGGCUUCGUUCUUGAAGUCAGUGAGACCAAGAACCCACCAAUUCUGGACACAGGAGCACAGGUGUCUUUUCAAGAUUCUGAUUUCAUUUCCUUUGGAUGUAUACCCAGCAGUGGGAUUUGUGUUCAUAAGAUUAAGGUCAUUCCUCGCUCAUUGGGAACACUGAGUCAAAGAAAAUAAGUUUGCAAGAAGACAAGGAAUGACCUGUAGGCAUACUAAGCCUGCAUUUGAGACUGACAAGGAGUGAGAGAUACUGUUUUGAGUGUGUGUGAAAAUGAAGAGAAUGAAUCAUCUUUUACUGAUUAUAAUCUAUAACUUGAGUUUGCAAGUCAAAGAACUUCUGAAACAGGGGAAAUUAAACAAGGCUACAAGCACUUUUUGAAACCCAUUUAUGCCAUCAACAACAAGGAAUCUAAUUACAAUUUUGAGAUGCUCUAGGGAAAAAAAAUAACCACCACAAGCUGAAGGAUUGCAAAAGCAGGGAUACAAUAUCUGUCAAAUACAUCUGGAGACUGCUGCAUCCAGCUAGGCAUACAUGUUGCUAAAAAUCAAGCCCUGAAAUCUAACUUCAAGUUUCAAGUGGACUUUGUGGUCUCAUUCUGGUCUUCAUAUGUUACUGUCACAAAACCACCAUGGAGUUCAGCAUAAUUCAUUGCGGCUGGUGGUCUUCAAUCUGAAGAAGCCAGAAACAGGAAUAGCAAGAGUUAUGGGAUGUAGCAGCAUUUUGAUUCUCUAUAAUGUUGAUUUGGAGUCCACUCAAAAGACUUGGAGGUAUAUCAGACUUUGAAUUUACACCUUAUCGU
rnacentral:lncRNA from 1 species